GUCUACGGCCACACCGCCUGAACACGCCCGAUCUUGUCUGAUCUCAGAAGCUGCGCGGGGUCGGGCCUGGUCAGUACUUGGAUGGGAGAAAUUGAAUCCUUUUGAGGUGUAUC
rnacentral:rRNA from 1 species